rnacentral:rRNA from 1 species
CCUACGGGGAGCAGCAGUGAGGAAUAUUGGUCAAUGGGCUUACGCCUGAACCAGCCAAGUCGCGUGAGGGAAGACUGCCCUAUGGGUUGUAAACCUCUUUUGUCAGGGAGCAAUUGGCGCUACGUGUAGCGUUAUCGAGAGUACCUGAAGAAAAAGCAUCGGCUAACUCCGUGCCAGCAGCCGCGGUAAUACGGAGGAUGCGAGCGUUAUCCGGAUUGAUUGGGUUUAAAGGGUGCGUAGGCGGAAUGCCAAGUCAGCGGUAAAAUCGCGGGGCUCAACCUCGCUCCGCCGUUGAAACUGGCGUUCUUGAGUGGGCGAGAAGUAUGCGGAAUGCGUGGUGUAGCGGUGAAAUGCAUAGAUAUCACGCAGAACUCCGAUUGCGAAGGCAGCAUACCGGCGCCCAACUGACGCUGAAGCACGAAAGCGUGGGUAUCGAACAGGAUUAGAUACCCCUGUAGUC